GGGGAGCGCCCGAUCUGGCUCCCCGCGCCGGACGCCCGGCUAUAAUCAUUCUCGGCCUUCUACUCCCCUCUCUCUCUCUCUCUAAAAAAGGCCAUAUGCCGUCCGUCACCGUGCGGCCGGCGGCGGUGGCGGCGGAUGGCAAGCAAGACCGGAAAGUGCAAGCGGCACAUGCCAACCAGCCGUAGCAAGGCCGCGCCACUUCGUCCCAAGUCAGGUCCCACGGCGACGGGCCGACGGCGGAAGCGGUUUCCGCCCCCACGGCCGCGCCCCUCCCUUCGCCGGCUGCGCCGUCAGGGUGAUGGCAGUUGGGAAAGAUCGAUCAAUCUUGCUCGCUGCGACUGUAAUGACCCAAGGAGCUGUGUUAUAAAGGACUUGAGGUCGAGGGCCUCUAUUUCCCCCGGCAUAAACAACAGUAAUCCCAUUCUGGACUGCAUGGAGUGCCCCAAAUGAAUUCUCAUCAACACCAAGUGAGAGGGACAGGAUAUCGACUCCAUCAUGGAUAGCAUCAUCUAGAGCUGCUAGUACUGCGGCAGUAGCGAGUUGCUCCUUUGCAGAAACUCACUGGGUGGUUCAUUUUUAAGCCCGAGGAAAUCCCAGCUUCUGGUGGUCAUUAGCUCAUGCUUCUGAUUUGGAGUAAUACUGAUAACUUCAGGAUAAGAGUAAGAAGCUAUCAGCUCACUGACGAGCAGGGAUUUUUUCCAAACAGUUAGUGAGUGUAAUCACUUGGUGUGAGCAAAUUUCUGCGCCCAGUUACAUCAUCUGGCAUUUCUUCCAAACAGUUAGUCAAAACGUUCCAAUCAGCAGGGAUUUUCUUGCAAGAUACUAUCAUGCUUAUGUGUCAUCAUUUUUUUCCUUGGCAUUUGUUAGACAUCAUUGUAUGGAGUCAUGACCCACAGUUUGACUAGUCGAAUCCAAGGAAUAGUAGGCGUUAAUCAAGUGGAGCACAAUCUGUUUUCUUGGAAGAGAAGUAGAAGAGGAUAAAUUGAACCUUGAAUGAACUUCUUGAGUGA